rnacentral:rRNA from 1 species
UACAGAGGGGGCGAGCGUUGUUCGGAAUUACUGGGCGUAAAGGGCGCGUAGGCGGCCUUCUAAGUCGAACGUGAAAUCCCCGGGCUCAACCCGGGAACUGCGUCCGAUACUGGGAGGCUUGAAUCCGGGAGAGGGAUGUGGAAUUCCAGGUGUAGCGGUGAAAUGCGUAGAUAUCUGGAGGAACACCGGUGGCGAAGGCGGCAUCCUGGACCGGUAUUGACGCUGAGGAGCGAAAGCGUGGGUAGCGAACAGG